AGGUAGUUAAUCUAUAGGUAGUUACAGUCUAUAGAUAGUUACAGUCUAUAGAUAGUUACAGUCUAUAGGUAGUUACAGUCUAUAGGUAGUUAUAGUCUAUAGGUAGUUAUAGUCUAUAGGUAGUUAGUCUAUAGAUAGUUACAGUCUAUAGGUAGUUAGUCUAUAGAUAGUUACAGUCUAUAGGUAGUUAGUCUAUAGGGAUUUACUGUCUAUAGGUAGUUACAGUCUAUAGAUAGUUAUAGUCUAUAGGUAGUUACAGUCUAUAGGUAGUUACAGUCUAUAGGUAGUUAUAGUCUAUAGGUAGUUACAGUCUAUAGGUAGUUAUAGUCUAUAGGUAGUUAUAGUCUAUAGGUAGUUAUAGUCUAUAGGUAGUUACAGUCUAUAGGUAGUUAGUCUAUAGGUAGUUAUAGUCUAUAGGUAGUUACAGUCUAUAGGUAGUUAGUCUAUAGGUAGUUACAGUCUAUAGGUAGUUACAGUCUAUAGGUAGUUAUAGUCUAUAGGUAGUUACAGUCUAUAGGUAGUUAUAGUCUAUAGGUAGUUAUAGUCUAUAGGUAGUUAUAGUCUAUAGGUAGUUACAGUCUAUAGGUAGUUAUAGUCUAUAGGUAGUUAUAGUCUAUAGGUAGUUAUAGUCUAUAGGUA